rnacentral:ncRNA from 1 species
CGGACCUACACCGGGCCGUCAUCGCAAGCUGGAUUGGUGGCUGUGCGCGUUUGCGUCAUGGUCCAGGCGUGGAGUGCGAUGCUGAGUAGGAGGGUCGCCGUGGUGAGCGUGGAAGCCGCAGACGUGAGUCGUGGUGGAGCCGCCACGGGUGCAGAUCUUGGUGGUAGUAGCAAGUAUUCAAGUGAGAACCUUGAGGGCCGAGGUGGAGAAGGGUUCCAUGGGAACAGCAGUUGGCCAUGGGUCAGGCGGUCCUAAGCGAUCCGGUGACUCGGUGCAGAGUCGUGGGGUGCCUUGCAUGAGUGCGUGCGUGCGUGCGUGCGUGCGCGCAUAGGCGUGGUGUUGUAUGUUGGCAGCCCCCCGGAGCGAAAGGGAAUCGGGUUAACAUUCUCGACCCUGCUCACGGAGAUGGGUGGUGUCGGUCGGUCGGUCGUUCGUUCGACACGGGCGGCACCAUCGGGCGCGGUGACGCAAACGAACUCGGAGACGUCGGCAGGAGUUCCGGGGAGAGUUCUCUUUUCUUUGUAAGGACGGUUAUUGCCCCUAGAAUCGGGUUGUCCGGAGAUAGGGGUAUCACCUCCGUAAAGCACCACCUCUCCUGUGGUGUCCGGAAGGCUCUUGUAGGCCCUUGAAAAUCCGAGGGAGGCGGUGUUAUUUUCGUGGCAGGCCGUACCCAUAUCCGCAUCAGGUCUCCGAGGUGAAGAGCCUCUGGCACUGGAAUAAUGUAGGUAAGGGAAGUCGGCAUACUUGAUCCGUAACCUCGGGAAAAGGAUUGGCUCUGAGGGCUGAGUCAAACAGGCUGGGGAAAGAGACGGACUCGCUCAGCUUGCAACUGGCCGGUGGGCUGGCAGGCUAGCUGUUGAGCCACACACCGUGUGGGGUAUGCAGUUGCACUCGCCCGCCUGGUGGCUGGAGGUGAGUAGGGUGAACCGUGGGCGGACCCAGCUGCACGUGCGCCUCGGCUGAUUGGUCGGUUGGUGGGUGGUUGGCGCUGCUGCUGCUGCUGCUGCCUGUCGGCGUGUAGAGCAGUGCGCGGCGUUGCUACCACGGCUGUCUGUCUGUCUGGCUGGCUGGCUGGCUGGCUGGCUGGCCGGCCGGCAUCGUCGAGUCGGGGCGUGCUUGUUUGACGCCAAACAGCCAACUCAGAACUGGCACGGACGUGGGGGAUCCGACUGUCUAAUUAAAACAAAGCAUUGCGAUGUCUGCUGAUCGGUUUUGACGCAAUGUGAUUUCUGCCCAGUGCUCUGAAUGUCAAAGUGAAGAAAUUCAACCAAGCACGGGUAAACGGCGGGAGUAACUAUGACUCUCUUAAGGUAGCCAAAUGCCUCGUCAUCUAAUUAGUGACGCGCAUGAAUGGAUUAACGAGAUCCCUACUGUCCCUAUCUACUAUCUAGCGAAACCACAGCCAAGGGAACGGGCUUGGCAGAAUCAGCGGGGAAAGAAGACCCUGUUGAGCUUGACUCUAGUCCGACUUUGUGAAGAGACAUGGCGGGUGUAGCAGUAAGUGGGAGACUCGGUGUCUGCUGCCGGGUACGACAAUGAAAGACCACUCCCAUCAUUGUUUCUUUGUUUAUUCAGUGAAGCGGGAUGAGCAGCAAUGUGUAUAAAAAUAUUUGCAUCUGCAUUGAAACACAUGCCGGAGUGUGGACUCGCUCUCACGUGUCAGCAUAUUCGGUAGCAGCUGGCUGACCAUUGCUGCUGCCGCCGCUGCUGUCCUUGGGCGAGCGGGGGGGAAGUGGGUAGGCGGACAGUGGUGUUAUCAGUCGGAGUGUGUGUGCGACAUGCGACCCGAUCUGGAGACACUGUCAGGCGGGGAGUUUGACUGGGGCAAUGCAUCCGUCAAAUCGUAACGCAGGUGUCCCGAGGUUAGCUCAGCCAGGACAGAAACCUGGCAUGAAGCAGAGGGGCGAAAGCUCACUUGAUGCUGAUUUCCAGUAUGAAUACACACCGUGAAAGCGUGGCCUAUCGAUCCUUUUGAUGAUUUCACCACAUUCCGAGUUUGAAGCAAGAGGUGUCAGAAAAGUUACCACAGGGAUAACUGGCUUUUGGCGGCCAAGCGUUCAUAGCGACGUCGCUUUUUUAUCCUUCGAUGCCGGCUCUUCCUAUCAUUGUGAAGCAGAAUUCACCAAGCGUUGGAUUGUUCACCCACCAAUAGGGAACGUGAGCUGGGUUUAGACCGUCGUGAGGCAGGUUAGUUUUACCCUACUGAUGGGCACGAGCAAAGUGCAUGCUGGUCGUUGCUAUGGUAAUCCUGUUCAGUACGAGAGGAACCGCAGGUUCAGACAUUUGGUACAUGUGCCUGGUCGAUCGGCCGAUGGUGCGAGGCUAUCAUCUAAGGUAUUAAGACUGAACUCUCUAAGUCUGAAUCCCGUCUAAAGGUGCAACGAUACACUACGGCCUGCCACAUGGUGAGGCAGCUAUAGCAUCUUCCAUUCGCCAGUUUCCUUAGCACGCGGAUAGCGUGCUGCGACCGACCGCGGAUGGUCUGGCUGGUAGUGCGAGGCCAGAGCGUGGACCACAUCCACGUGCAUCAGAUGCUCAUGGUGCUGCGUGGGGGUCGAUACGAUAUCCAACUGUGGAAUGAGUGUGCAGGCACUAAAUCGUUUGUAGACGACUCAAUACUUUGUCGGGGAGACGUGAGUACUGGAGCAGCUAUCACACUGCGAGGUAUUGAGUCCUAUCCCUACUUGACUUUAUGAUUCGC